rnacentral:rRNA from 1 species
UACAUGGGGGUGCAAACGUUUGCUCGGAAUUAUUGGGCGUAAAGCGCACGUAGGCGGUUCGUUAAGUCGGAUGUGAAAGCCCUCGGCUCAACUGAGGAAGUGCACCCGAAACUGGCGAGCUUGAGUACGAAAGAGGAUCGCGGAAUUCCCGGUGUAGAGGUGAAAUUCGUAGAUAUCGGGAGGAACACCGGGUGGCGAAGGCGGCGAUCUGGGUCGAUACUGACGCGUGAGGUGCGAAAGCGUGGGGAGCAAACAGG